rnacentral:lncRNA from 10 species
UGAACUCCUUACCUCGUGAUCCACCCACCUGGGCCUCCCAAAGUGCUGGGAUUACAGGCGUGAGCCACCGCGCCCAGCCAAUAUUCCCUUCUUUACACUAAAACUAAACAAAAUGAUUUGAAGUUCCACAUGGGCCCCGGCUUCUUGAGGUUGUUCUGUCUUCUUGGAAUGUCACUCCUUGCAAUCUCAGGCUGCUAAAAAGUCCUAGGCAUCCUGUGACACCCACCUCUACCCACCCCUGUCCUGAGAGAAUCUUAGUCACCACCUCCUCUGGCUUGCAGAACACUGUGUGAAUACUUUUAUUAUAAUACUUACCAAGCAUUGUAUUGUAUUGUAUUGUAAGUUUUUGUUUACAUGCUUCUCUCUUUCACUAGACCCUGACUUCCUUCAGCAAAGAGACAGCUUCUGAUUCAUGUUCGUCUCACCAUAAUCAGUCCUUGAAGGCUCACCUAUCCUCGUGGCUGCAGCCAUUUCCCUCUCUGCAGAUACUUCCAAAAGUUACACUAGAUGUUAACUGAGCACUAAGGACACUACGUGAAAGACUGGAGUACAAACAUCCAAAGGACUGAAGAAUUUGAAGAGCACUGAAUGUGGGAGAUAGGACAGAGGAAAGGAGUCAAAUGUCUCCAAGAAACGAAGCCUGUGUGCCCUGGAGAAUGAAGAAGCAUCAUCAAAUCGGGGAGACUGAAGGAGGAAUCGGUUUUCAGAGAAAAACAAUUUAUAUUGUCUUAGCUGUGUUAGGUGGCAUACUAUUACAUUCAAGUGAAGCUGUGUAAUAGACAGAGAUGACAAAUUUUAUUCAUUUAUGAAUGCCCCCCAAAAUAUAUAUAUAGUUUUUGCCCUCAUGUCUCUUAUUGGGAUGACAGACAUAAAUCAAAGAAUUCCAUAAAUAAAUAUUAAAAUACAAUUUGUGAUAAAUGCUACAAAGUGGUACAUAUUCAUAUGGAAGCAUAAAGAGAACUGACCCGCUUGAGGAAGCUGGCAGUGAGAGCUGAAGGUAAGAGCAAGAGUUGACUAGGAGACAAGAUGGGGAAAGUUCUAGGCAGAAGGAACAGCAUGUUCCAAAGCCAACAGCAUAGAGACAGAAAGUAGAUUAGUGAGUGCCAGGGGGUGGUGGGGAGCAGAGAAGAAGAAGGGGUGUCUGCUCUUGGGUAUGGAGUUUCUCUUUGAGGCAAUGAAAAUGCUCUGGAAUGAGAUAGUGGUAACAGUUGCACAACUUUGUGAACAUACUAAAAUCCACUGAAUUGCAUACUUUAAAGGGGUAAAUUGUGUGGUAAGCGAAUUAUAUUUCAAUUUUUAGAGAUAAAGAUAAAUGCAAGUUAACAAUAACCAGGAAAAA